AGCAGACGAUUUUAUGGAGCCAGACAGUGUGGGUUGCAGCUGUGCAGCUGCUUGUUCAGGGCUGAAACAUCCCCUCGCGGAAGGGGAUGCAGAAAAACAAGAAGCUUACAGUGUUCUUACUUGAAUCUCAUCUCAGACUGAGUUAACCCCAUCAUAUGGAUUAGGAAAAGUCUCAUCUUAAACUCUAGACUCUACUUCAUUCAGCUGAAGGCAUUGGGUGCUUGCCAAAUUCACAUAACCCUCAAGGGUUGGAAGCGGUAAAAAGUUUGAAGACAAACCUAUUUUGAAGAGAAGAGGAAGAAAGCAUCACCCCUUCCCUUAAACGACAUACAUUACAUGUAUGCAGCCCCUCAGAAGGAAGGUCUUCAAAAGAGCCGAGGUGCCACGUGGGUGAAGUGGUCCACACAUUUGACCCGGGAGAACAUUUGAGUGCUUGUGACAGCCCCAGAUUGGUGGAUGAGAACCCGAUUGCUGACGAUGGGGGCAUCAGCGAGACUAGGGAUGACAACCAGAUAACUGUUGGAUGCUCGGUGUUCAGUUGCCUGUGGCCGAAAUGUCUCACAAUCAACUUAAACGAGGGUGCAAAAUCAAACUCAGGGUUUUAUUCUUCAAACUAUUUCCACUGAUGGCUUCUUCCUGCAGAACAGCACCAUGCAAUUGGCUCUAGAUGCUCAGACUUUCAGUUGUGACCACAAGUACUUCUCUUAGACAUUAAGCUGUGAACCAUUCAGCAGGCUUGUAGUUAAUCCUACACAACCCUGAGCCAGUGGCACCAGAGUUAUCAUUAUCACAUCAGGGGAAGCUGCUCCUCUGUAAAACCAGUAAUGUAGUUAAGGUGCCAGGACCGUGGGGGGUCACAUUCACCCAGGACUUGAAAUGUCAACAGCUCUGUGUAUUAAUUGAUUUAGCCUCCUUUUGCCUAAUCAUGCAGACCUUUUCCCUGCAUACCCCAUUUGACAUGCCUUCUUAGAGUCACUUAGUGCUAUUCACUUAGAGAAAUGCUGCUACUGGCUCACUAUGGUCUGAGUGGACUUCCUUUAGGAGACAGCACCCUUCCAUCUUUGUGGGCCCUCUUAGCCCUUGUAAAUUUCUUCCUCUAUUCUCCCAUCUUUUGAAAUUCUCUAUGCCUCCAUCACAGUCAAGAAGUAGUCAUUACUUCCUUUCACACAGCCUCCCAGACGCUCCUUCACUGGAUAACGACAUUCUGGAUCUCUCUUGGGAUAACAUGUUCUAAUCUGUGCUGUCGCCACAUGGGAAUCUUCCUGUCUCCACAGCUGGAGUUCUGGGGUACAGAUGUGCCCUGCUGUCAUUCCCCUAAGACUCUAGUAUUCAAGGGUUCAGAUCUGCAUUGCUAUUUUCUGGACAGUUGGAAGUUGGGUAGCACAGUGCUCACGAGUCUUGCUUGUAAGUAAAGAAUUAGAUUUCAUUGAUAGGGAAGAAUAAAACUUAAGAGCUGGAGAACAACCGAGAGAUGAACUAAGAGUGGUCAGAGGAGGAGAGUGGGAGGGAGGAGAUGGAUGGAGAUGGAUGGAGACGGAUCCGAGUAGGUGAGACCUGAGUUUGCAGGUAAAGAACACAGGAUGUUCUACAGUGGGAGAGUGGGAAGGCCGCCACUCAUGGAGGGGAGCUGUUUCUUUGUCUCCAGGCUUUGAGUGGUGAAUAACACUCUCCUGAAAAUGA
rnacentral:lncRNA from 1 species